UGGUGGAGUGAUUUGUCUGGUUUAUUCCGUUAACGAACGAGACCUCAACCUACUAAAUAGUUUAAUUAACAUUUUUGUUGGUUGCAACUUCUUAGAGGGACUAUCGGUGUGUAGCCGAUGGAGGUUUGAGGCAAUAACA
rnacentral:rRNA from 1 species